CCUACGGGCGGCAGCAGUCGAGAAUCUUUGACAAUGGGGGAAACCCUGAUGGUGCGACGCCGCGUGGGGGAAUGAAGGUCUUCGGAUUGUAAACCCCUGUCAUGUGGGAGCAAAUUAAAAAGAUAGUACCACCAGAGGAAGAGACGGCUAACAAUGGGCCAGCAGCCGCGGUUAUACAGAGGUCUCAAGCGUUGUUCGGAAUCACUGGGCGUAAAGCGUGCGGGGGCUGUUUCGUAAGGCGUGUGUGAAAGGCGCGGGCCCAACCCGCGGACGGCACAUGAUACUGGGAGUCUAGAGUGAGCGAGAAGUAAGCGGAAUGCGCGGUGUAGCAGUGAAAUGCGUAGAUAUCGAGCAGAACAC
rnacentral:rRNA from 1 species